rnacentral:rRNA from 1 species
GAUUUGGCCCAAACCUGCGCAAGUCCAUUGGAACAUGGCGCCCAAGAGGGUGAGAGCCCCGUCGCGCAGGCCGCAGCCUUGACAUCCCCCCGUCAAAGAGUCGAGUUGUUUGGGAAUGCAGCUCAAAGUGGGUGGUAAAUUCCAUCUAAAGCUAAAUAUUGGCGAGAGACCGAUAGCGAACAAGUACAGUGAUGGAAAGAUGAAAAGCACUUUGAAAAGAGAGUGAAACAGUACGUGAAAUUGUUGAAAGGGAAGGGCUUGCAAGCAGACACGAGUUCGCUCGGGCCAGCAUCAAUUUCGCGAGGUGGACAACACGCCAGGAAUGUGGCAGGCUCCGGCCUGUGUUAUAGCCUGCGCGCCAUACACCUCCGCGAGAUUGAGGCCUGCUCCAAAAGGAUGCUGGCGUAAUGGUUGCAAGUCGCCCGUCU